rnacentral:lncRNA from 12 species
GGCCUUCGGGGAACGGUUUCCCGGGUUCCUGGGGAAAAUUUUUUUUCUUGGCCAACCCCCCCCCUUCCCCAAAUUUUCCCCCCCGGGGGGGGGGGGGGGGGCGGGGACUGUCUCUCUCGGUGCUCGUCAGCCCGGUGACAGCGAGGUUGUCCGCGCCCUCCGAGGCCGGCCCCUAGGAAGGGCUCCCACCGGCCAGCCCACGAUCAUGCCCCUCCCCGCGGGCUCCUGCGGGGCUGAGUCUGUCUGUCCCCAUGCCUAGCCACGGGCAAUCGGCCAGGUCCCAUGAAGCUGGGGGUAAGAGCUGAUCCUCCGGCUGUUCACACCUAGGAAAAAGCUGGAUCUGGAUGCUUUCAUUCCCCCUCCCAGACCCCAGGAACUUCUCAUACCGUACAAAUGGGGGGGGGGGGACUUGUUCCCUGGGCAAUCUGAGCCUGCCAGCACCCUCCUGUGGAGCCCUCAGCCACCCACUAUGGCCGGAAACCUUGGUGGUGGUUGGGCAGCUCAGCACUCCCCAGCCGACCACCACUGGCAGCCAUUCAAACUAGAAUCCGAAUUGGAGCCAGAAGAAGCUCCAGAAAAUCCAAAUCUAUACGCUCCAAACGCAUAUGACAAGUGCUGAUAGUCUUGGUUGUUAUUUUGAACAGUGUAGGUGUGCUCAGCUGCUGAGAUGGACACUGGUGAGAAAGGCAUCAAUUCAGAGAAUCUCACUGCAAAUAGAAGACAAGGUUCAGACGCAUAAAUUCAGAUUUGGAGAGCUUAUGUUCCAUCAUAAAUUGGGCUGGCAGACUUCCGAUCAACAAGAUAAAGCUGUCUCCUGUGAGGUGGGUGUUUUAUUAGUCUUGGCCUCGAUGCUGCAGGCACUGAGAUUGGGGGGAGGAGGGGUGAGUCCUCUGUUCUGGAAUCCUCCUGUGCUGUUCAGAGCAGCCUGAUGGUACCCAGAGAUCCAACUGCUUCCUGUCAUCACGGGCAGGCACCAGGAACCUAGGCAUCCCCUGGACCUGGGCUGUAAAUGCCCUAGACCCCCAUCCCCCCAGCACCAGACCGAGGGCCCACUCCUCAGUCCUCAGGCUGGACACUCGAGGGUCACAACAGAGGCUCAAUGUGCACCUAAGCAUGUGUAUGUCUGUGCCCUUCCCUCCCUGGUGGACCUUUGAGAGCCUGGCCAGAGGCAGAGUAGGGUUCAGGGAUCACGGGCACCUGGAUCUGCCUGGAACCCUGGGGGCCAAAUGGCUGGAAGUGGGGACCCAGAAGAGGGAAGUCAAGUCCCCAGCUCCAGAGAUGUGGUGACCACAUCUAGCUCUACUUGCAGGUACAGACACAACCCAUCCAGGGACCCCACAGGCAGACAUGGGGAGGUCUUGGCAGCUGUGGGCCGCUCUGGGCCUAGGCUCUUGCCACUCACUCAGAAUUGGGAGUGAUGUCUGCUGGCCUCACCUGCACCCCCCCCCCCCAGGGGUCAGGUCUGUCUUCAGAAUCUCAGUCAACACCACCUCCCUCUGCCCCUGACAGUUCCAGCUUCUGUACCAGCUUGCCAGCAUCACUUCUCAGUGAAAUCACCCAAAUCAGCAUUCCCAGGCUCCGCCUGACACCUUUGGGCACCCUUGUCUGCCCAGGGCCUCAGCACCACUCACUGUAGGAAAUCUAUGGGUCCAAGAUAUGUGCUGGUGUUCUGGGGGUACAGAGGACCCUGACAGGAAAGGAAGAUAAUCCAGGGAGGCUUCUUGGAGGAGGGGGUGCUGCUGUGAGUCUUGAAGAUAAGUAGGUGGUACCAGGGCCAACAUGACCACCAUGCGCAGGGAGCAUAGAACCUGGACCCUAGUACAUUUAGAGACCACAAAAACAUUUUACUUUUAAUUUCCCUUAAAACCAGAAGGGAAAAAAUAAUAAUGAAUAUUGAAUAAUGAAUCUAUCAUGGAAUAUAUUUGUCUUUUUAUCAAGAGUUAUAAAAUAUAAUUUAAAAUUUUUCAUGGGAUGCCUGGGUGGCUCAGUGGUUGAGCAUCUGCGGGGGAUCAAGUCUCAUACUGGGCUCCCUACGAGGAGCUUGCUUCUCCCUAUGUCUAUGUCUCUGCCUCUCUGUGUGUAUGUGUGUCUCUCAUGAAUAAAUAAAUAAAAUCUUUAAAAAAAUUUUUUUUA